UACGUAGGGAGCAAGCGUUGUCCGGAAUCAUUGGGCGUAAAAGCGCGCGUAGGCGGCCCUGUAAGUCCGUUGUGAAAGUCAAAGGCUCAACCUUUGAAAGCCGAUGGAUACUGCAGGGCUAGAGUCCGGAAGAGGCGAGUGGAAUUCCUGGUGUAGCGGUGGAAUGCGCAGAUAUCAGGAGGAACACCAAUAGCGAAGGCAGCUCGCUGGGACGGUACUGACGCUAAGGCGCGAAAGCGUGGGGAGCGAACAGG
rnacentral:rRNA from 1 species